CCUACGGGAGGCAGCAGUGGGGAAUAUUGCACAAUGGGGGAAACCCUGAUGCAGCAACGCCGCGUGAGUGAUGAAGGCCUUCGGGUUGUAAAGCUCUGUCUUCUGGGACGAUAAUGACGGUACCAGAGGAGGAAGCCACGGCUAACUACGUGCCAGCAGCCGCGGUAAU
rnacentral:rRNA from 1 species